UACGAAGGGGGCUAGCGUUGUUCGGAAUUACUGGGCGUAAAGGGCGCGCAGGCGGUCGCUCAAGUCAGGCGUGAAAGCCCCGGGCUCAACCUGGGAAUAGCGCUUGAGACUGAGCGACUUGAGUUCGGGAGAGGAGAGCGGAAUUCCCAGUGUAGAGGUGAAAUUCGUAGAUAUUGGGAAGAACACCGGUGGCGAAGGCGGCAUCCUGGACCGGCAUUGACGCUGAGGCGCGAAAGCUAGGGGAGCAAACGGG
rnacentral:rRNA from 1 species